UCCAUCUCACCCUCUCAUGUCUGGCCAUAUCUCUCAUUUGUUCCUUUUUCUUUUCUUUUCACUUAAACACACUCCUCUCUACUCUUAUAUCCUCUCUCACCGGUACUUCCACACCACCACCACCAUUUUCACCAUCAUUUUUCCAACAAGACCACCAGAAAAAUCCUUAGGAACCCCCAAGUAUCAUCAUCCCUUUAUUUGAGGUUCUAGCUAAUCUCCUUGGAGCUUGGAGAGUUAGGCUUUUGCAGUUGCGAGGUAAGUAGCAUUUUAAUGGGAUUUUUGGAAAAAUAACCAUGUUGCAUGAAUGUUGUUUUUGGGUUAGACACUUUUUGGAAACUACCUAUGGAAACUAUAUUUUCCUUAAAACUAUUGUGUCGUAACCUUAAUAUAUAAAUGAUCAUAUAUAUGAAAAUGCAUCAUAUUUGGUAUUGCAUUUGGGGAAAUGCAUGAAUUGUUGACAUGGAAAAAUGAGCAUCUUUUAUUUAAUCUUUGAUAAGGAAAUCAUAGAUUUUAUGGUAUAUUAGAAAAUUUAAAGAUGCUUAUCUUGUCUUAUUAUGUGGGAAAUUGAUAGAAAAUCUUUUGACAAGAAUGAAAUUGAAAACCUUACAAACUUUGUGGAAGUUAGAUUAUUUAAUGUUUUUCUGAAAUUACCUAGAUAUAAACUAUGUGUUUCAAAGUAUAUGUAACAUGUGAGCUUUAUGUGGUUUUAACACUAUGUCAUGUGUGAUUUUUCGAUGAUCACCCGAUUUGGUUUUCAUAGUCUUUGUGACAACGGAAUCAGAUCCAAGUCAGUGCCCUUUCAUUUUGGAUAAUGUGUUCUUCCCUACUACCCAUGGGGGGAAGAGGUUCCUUGAUUGUGUGUGAAUGAGGCCACUGUCCAUAGGGCCAAAAGACCACAUGCAAGAGAGGUCCUAUUUGACGCGCUCUCUGCUGCCCAUGGGGGAAGAGAAAAACCUUGAGAGUAUGGGUGAGACUGUUGUCAAUGGGGUCAAGAGUCUGCAUACCAGAGAGGACAAUAUCAUGUCAGUUGUGAAUGGGUGGAUCCCCUGACCAGUCUAUGUGGUAGUGUGGUAUAUCUGUGAUAAUUUAUCUUAUGUUAGAUAUUAUGGCUUUGGAAAUGAUAUUGUUGAUGCUCACAUAUUAUAGUAUAUAGUUUCAGGGUAUUUACUUUGAGAAACUUUGUGUUUCAUUAUUUAAUCAUUCUUAUCAUAUUAUUAUUAUUGAAGAUGAAACUUGCAUUUCCCCCACCCCCAUUAAUUAUGCUACUUACUGGGUUCUGUCUCAUUCCAUUAUUUUAUAAACUUUUCAGAGUAGGCAACAAUCUUUUGAGACAGCUUUUUGGUGGCUAAUAGUAGUUAGACUAAUUACUGAUGGAGGCUGAACUUUUGUAAUGGAGAUAUUAGAUGAUGUACAUCUUAGAAUAGGUUUAACUCAUUCUUUUGUAUAUUAUAGUGGUUGUGAUGUUAUUUCCACUGAUAGGAUAAGCUAAUGAUAUGUAAUUACUUAUUCAGACCUCUAUUCUUUUGUGGCCAAUGGUCCUUGUAAUUAUUGCUUAGAACUUUGACUUACUUUGAGAGUAUAUUCAAUGGAAUUAUUAUGAUAA